rnacentral:rRNA from 1 species
AUUGAACGCUGGCGGCAGGCCUAACACAUGCAAGUCGAACGAGUGGCGGACGGGAGAGUAAUGUCUGGGAAACUGCCUGAUGGAGGGGGAUAACUACUGGCAACGGUAGCUAAUACCGCAUACCAUCAGAUGUGCCCAGAGGGGAUGUGUUAGGUGGUGGGGUAACGUCUCACCAAGGCGACGAUCCCUAGCUGGUCUGAGAGGAUGACAAGCCACACUGGGACUGAGACCCAGUCCAGACUCCUAAGUGAGGCAGCAGUGGGGAAUAUUGCACAAUGGGCGCAAGCCUGAUGCAGCCAUGCCGCGUGUAUGAAGAAGGCCUUCGGGUUGUAAAGUACUUUCAGCGGGGAGGCGUUACCCGCAGAAGAAGCACCGGCUAACUCCGUGCCAGCCGCCGCGGUAAUAC